AGAGAGAAAGGAAGGCAAACAAAUCGGGGAGUGGCGAAGAAGAAGGAGCAGGGGAGGGGGGAGAACGCGGGUUGAUCAUGGUGGGAGCAGAGGUGGGCAGGGGAGAGGGCGUGCGAGCGCCGGGCCGUGCCUUUAAUCCCUUGGACGCGCGGAAAGGGAAAGCCCUUUUGAGGAGGGGUAGGAAGGGCGCCGCCGCCGGAAGGCAAGAGGGGAGAGGGGCGCCACUGGGCGCGCCCCGGCACCAGGGUGGAGAGCCCGCCCUAAACAGCCCGGCUCCGCCGGCGACGCUCGGGCGCUGACACGCCACGGCCGGCGACUUAGCCCGCCCGACUGAUCCUCCUCCUCCUCCCCCUCCCCCUACGACGCCACCCGGCACUAGAAUAGGGUUCGCGCACCGAUCCAAAGCCCGCCCCUACCUUCCACGCUCCCGCCGCCUCAACCGGCGGCCGCCGCCCCUACACGUCCAAUUCCCGCCGUUCCUCCCGCCGGUCCGGCGCGUCGUCGUCGACGGCCACCCGUCGCUCGGCCAGCUCUACGGGCGGUGCGGCGACGGCGUGCGGGCGCUUUAGCUCACCAGGCUCGUAAAGAGGAAGAAGUUGAGGUACCCGUGGCCGUGCCUGCCGCACUACCCCGGCCGGUCGCAGCCGUACAGCGCGAGGCUCAGCAGGUCCGGGCCGUCGCAGUGGGUCGUCGUCGUCGUCGCGACGGACCGCCCGUCGUUGCGGCUGCUCUCCCACCUCCUCGAGUGGCACUCCUUGACGUAGUCGAGGCUCCGAGUGGUCGGACGACGGAGACGGCCGCCCUCGUGACCGCCGUGACCCCUGUCCGGACGGCAAUACGCCCCGGAGACCCCAUUGAAGUGUUCCUACCGCACCUCCUGGCGGCUACGGCGAUCGUCCCUUCGGAACCGGCAGUCGGAACCGUUGCGGUACCCCAGAGUGUUGCAACUACGAAGACCGUUCCCUUACGGCAAACCGGCGCCGCUUUUACCAUCAUGGCUCAAGUUAUACAGUAAACCAUUAGUCGUCGUCGUCGUAUAGAACAGAAGUGCCGGCUUUGUCUCACUCGUCGUCGUACAGAACAGAAGUGCCGUCUUAGUCUCGCUCGUCGUACAGGACAGAAGUGCAGGCUUGGUUUCGUCGGUCGUACAGGACAGAAGUGACGGUUUAGUCUCGCUCGUCGUACAGGACAGAAGUGCAGGCUUAGUCUCGCUCGUCGUAGAGGGCAGAAGUGCCGAAUUAGUCUCGCCCGUCGUACAGGACAUAAGUGCCGGUUUAGUCUCGCUCG
rnacentral:rRNA from 1 species